rnacentral:rRNA from 1 species
AUUGAACGCUGGCGGUAGGCCUAACACAUGCAAGUCGAGCGGAUGAAGGGAGCUUGCUCCUGGAUUCAGCGGCGGACGGGUGAGUAAUGCCUAGGAAUAUGCCUGGUUGUGGGGGCUAACGUCCGGAAACGGGCGCUAAUACCGCAUACGUCCAGAGGGAGAAAGUGGGGGAGCUUCGGACCUCACGCCAUUAGAUGAGCCUAUGUGGGAUUAGCUAGUUGGUGGGGUAAAGGCCUACCAAGGCGACGAUCCGUAACUGGUCUGAGAGGAUGAUCAGUCACACUGGAACUGAGACACGGUCCAGACUCCUACGGGAGGCAGCAGUGGGGAAUAUUGGACAAUGGGCGAAAGCCUGAUCCAGCCAUGCCGCGUGUGUGAAGAAGGUCUUCGGAUUGUAAAGCACUUUAAGUUGGGAGGAAAGGCAGUAAGUUAAUACCUUGCUGUUUUGACGUUACCAACAGAAUAAGCACCGGCUAACUUCGUG